AGUGAACGCUGGCGGUAGGCCUAACACAUGCAAGUCGAACGGCAGCACAGUAAGAGCUUGCUCUUACGGGUGGCGAGUGGCGGAUGGGUGAGGAAUACAUCGGAAUCUACUUUUUCGUGGGGGAUAACGUAGGGAAACUUACGCUAAUACCGCAUACGACCUACGGGUGAAAGCAGGGGAUCUUCGGACCUUGCGCGACUGAAUGAGCCGAUGUCGGAUUAGCUAGUUGGCGGGGUAAAGGCCCACCAGGGCGACGAUCCGUAGCUGGUCUGAGAGGAUGAUCAGCCACACUGGAACUGAGACACGUUCCAGACUCCUACGGGAGGCAGCGGUGGGGAAUAUUGGACAAUGGGCGCAGGCCUGAUCCAGCCAUACCGCGUGGGUGAAGAAGGCCUUCGGGUUGUAAAGCCCUUUUGUUGGGAAAGAAAAGCAGCAGGUUAAUACCCCGCUGUUCUGACGGUACCCAAAGAAUAAGCACCGGCUAACUUCGU
rnacentral:rRNA from 1 species